GCCCCCUGGUAGGCAUUGUCUUGCGAGUUCGUUGCUAAACCGUGUGUCGCAGGUUCGAAUCCUGCCGGGGGGCA
rnacentral:tRNA from 1 species